UGUGUAGUCUGGCCUGCCCACUGAAAUUUAAAGGGCCGCGGUAUCUGAACCGUGCUAAGGUAGCAUAAUCAAUAGUCUCUUAAUUGGGGUCUAGAAUGAACGGUCGGACGAAAAAUUAGCUGUCUUGCAUGUAAAAUUGAACUUUACUUUUAAGUGAAAAGGCUUAAAUUCAAUGAAGGGACGAUAAGACCCUAUGAAGCUUAAUGUAAACUAUUUUAAAGUAACUUUAAAUAAUUGGGUGUUUUAUUUUUAUAAUGUUUAUAUUGUGCUGGGGCGGCUGUAAUAUAAAUUUAACUGUUAUUCGGUAAAAAAUAAUUAUAUUUAGAUAAAUUUGAUCCUCUACUUACGGAUUAUAAGAUUUAAGUUACUCUAGGGAUAACAGCGUAAUUCUUCUUGAGAGUUCAUAUCGACAGAAGUAGUUGCGACCUCGAUGUUGAAUUAAAAUUUCAUUAAGGUGUAGGAGCUUUAAUAGUAGGUCUGUUCGACCUUUAAAAUUUUACGUGAUCUGAGUU
rnacentral:rRNA from 1 species